AAAAAAGAGAGGGAGAGAGACGUUGAGAAAAGGAUGGACAUUACAUUAUGACCUUUGGUGAUUUUUUUAAUAAAAGACGAUAAAAAUAGAACAAAACCCAUAUCUACCGAGUUUUGAAGGGAAAUACCGAUUUACUUUAUAAGAGAGUUGUUAUAAUUUUGUUAAGAAAGACUCCAACGUGCGCCAACGGGUUAAGCAAACUUGAAAUAAUUUGGACAUGGGUUGUGCACGACUCAUUGGGGUUUAUUAUUUUUAUGUGGUGCUUUGAAAAUGUAAUAAUACCCAUCUUGAACCUUAUGUAUGUUGCCUUGGUGGAGUCAUUUCCUGUUUCAAUUUAAUUUAAUGCAUGGGAAAGUAUAUCCUUAUACAAUAACAAAAAUCUAUAAUCAUUCCAUUUGAAGUUAAUACCCUAUUUGUCAUCACCCUAGAUAGUUUACAAUGGGGAUUCUGAUUGGAGAUGUCCUUCUCACCUAACAUCCCAUGCUGUUGAGAUACUCUACGAGACGAGGAGCGCACAGGAUUUCGCGUUGGAGUUCCGGACCCUUGCCGCUGGAGUGGGGUGGAACGAGAGGGCCGUUGUAGCCUGAGGGAGGACGUUCGCCGGGAGCUGGCAUGUCGGGAUACUACAAACACCCUGGACAAGCUUAUCGAUCUGUCCAUCAGACUGGACAACCUGCUGGCUGCUCGUGGGCGUUCUCCUCGGGCCCUUUUCGUUCCACCUCCCAGUCUUCCUGAUCCAACGCCCAUGGAGAUAGGGGGGACUGCAGCUAGGAAGACCGGAGGGGGGGGGUCUCUCCUGUGCCCACUGUGGUCACAGAGGGCACACUGCCGACCGGUGCUGGAAAGGCUCACCCAGGAGUUCAGAGGGCAGGCAGAGUACCACGUCAACACCCCAGAAGAAGAGAAAGACCCAGAAGAGAGCUCGAGUAAAACUGGUAUCCUGGACAUUUGCUUAAUCAAGAAGACAUGGAAAGUGUACUAAAGUGGAUGGAGAAGCUGCUGUUUCUGCUGGUUCUGACCUAUGGUUGUUAUGGUGAACCUCAAGAUCUCUCAGGGAAAAAGUUCAUCAUCCCAGUCGAGACAAGCGACUCGUUUGUAAAACUCUCUGACAACGUCUUAAAGCCUGUUAUUGCUAUGACCAUGUGUCAGAGGUUCUUCACUGAGGUACAACGAGACCAGUCCCUUUUCUCUCUAGCAACCCCCUCUGAUUCCAAAGAUAUCAAUCUGUGUCUGCAAUCAAAGGGUGGGUAUAAACUGAAUAUCAGAGGAAAUUCUGUUACUAUCAACGGUUUGCCAGAAAAUAGAAAUGGAUGGAUCUCUUUUUGUGUCACGUGGGACUCUAAAACUGGUCUCACCCAGAUGUGGGCAAAUGGGAGACGAAGUGCAUCGAAGAUUCUUAAGCCAAAUGGCCCUAUAAAUGGAAAACCAAGUAUAAUCUUAGGUCAAAACCAAGGCAGUUAUGGUGGAGGUUUUGUAGCAUCACAAUCCUUUGUGGGGGAUGUUACUGAUGUACACUUCUGGGACAGUGUCAUCUCUCCUUGCCAAAUCAAAUUGUAUAUGCAAGGGAAAAACUUUACUCCAGGAAAUAUUCUCAACUGGAAAGCAUUGGAGUUCACUACUGGGGGAGGGGUGUUCAAGGAGAUAAGUGACUAUACCUGUUAGCAAUACAUUUGUACCCGGUAUUGUUCAUGUUUUACAAAUGAUGAUGACAGUAAUCAUAAUACAUUUUAUGUUCAUAGCAGCUUUCCCUUUAAAAGCUCUGUUACGAAUCAAUAUCCCAUAUUUUUAUGUUCCUGAGUACUCAUUUAAUAGAAAAGAAUAGUGCAAUAAAGUUUCAAUAAUUUCUCAUAAAUGUUUGUCUGUCUUUCAUUUAGCGUUUGUAUGCAGAUGACCUCUGAAAUAGUGUAAAGUGUUAUUUUCAGAGGAGAAUGAAACCGAAAAAGCAAGAUGUCUUUAUUGACAUUUUUCCAGUGUGUCUGUGUGCACAGGUCGUUGUGUAAACAGAGAUGAAUGACUUUGCUGGCCAAUUGCAACUACCAGGCAGAACCACAUGCAGCUCUGUAUUAGCGCUGGAGUUCAUGCACCUACGUGUUGGAACAACUUUCAUGCAACUAAAAACCCACAAGAAUAAACCAGCAGAUCAGUUGAUCUCAUGUUACCGUGUCAAGCUUUGAUUAGAGACAGCUGCGUCUAGGUUCUCUACUCCCGCUCCUUAUAGGCCUAGUCUGGUAAUCGAUCUAAAAAAAAGACUUAUUGUAAGAAUAUAGGAUUAUAUUUCAUACAAACAUGUAAUCUUAAAUAUCAAGAUAAUUAUAAUAUAAUUUGUGUCAUUUAUUUUAAAUAACUUGAUGAGACUACAAUUUCUUCGAAAGCCACCGUCCGCCAUAUUGGUAGCCUACUCCUCAUGUCCCCUAUACAGGGGCGCAACUUUGGUUUCAGAAGUGUUUACAUUUUUUAAUCCAGACGGAUAAACAUUCCAAACAGCCUACCCGACCGCUCGGUGGCGUCCGUAUGGUCAUAAAGCACACCGUUUCCUUGUUUUGUAUCAAAUUCCAUUGAUUAAACUGGGCAGGACAAUUUCAGAAUGUUAGGUGGAGCCCCCCCAUCCCCAGUGAAAGUUGCACCCCUGCAACUAUACACUGAGUGUACAAAACAUUAGGAACACCUGCUCUUUCCAUGACAUAGACUGACCAGGUGAAUCCAGGUCAAAGCUAUGGUCCCUUAUUGAUGUUAUCUGUUAAAAGCACUUCAAUCAGUGUAGCUGAAGGGGAGGAGACAGGUUAAAGAAGGAUUUUAUAGCCUUGAGACAAUUUAGACAUGGAUUGUGUAUGUGUGCCGUGCCAUGGCAUGGUAGUAGGUGCCCGGCGCACAUGUUUGAAUGUGUGGAUUUUUUUAUGCUCAACUGUUUCCCAUGUGUAUCAAGAAAGGUCCACCACCCAAAGGACAUCCAGCCAACUUGACAAAACUGUAGGAAGCAUUGGAGUCAACAUGGGCCAGCAUCCCUGUCGAACGCUUUAGUCAGCUUGCAGAUCCAUGCCCCCCCGAAAUGAGGCCGUUCUGAGUGCUAAAGGGGGUGCAACUCAAUAUUAGGAAGGUGUUCCUAAUGUUUUGUACACUCAGUGUAUAUCUGUGCAAUAAGUAGCGUAACAUAAAACCUGAAAUCAUGGCCAAUGUUUCACCUGUUGUGAAAUGAAAAAAAAGUCAAACUACUGCAUGUUUCUGCUCAUCUUUUGCACACAUGCAUGUGCUUUCCGCAAAUAAGCUUUUUUCAAAUAUUAAAGUUAUUGCAUAGCCUACGUGUUAUUCCUUUAUUACUGUACAUAGUAAAUUGUCAAAAAUGCUAAACGAUAUUUGACAAAAGACUUAAUAAGAGUACUUGAAAAGGACUGGCCAGGUGGUAACCUUCACUAUGUAGUGAGCUAGGCAUCCCAACAUUUGCACUGCUGCUUGCACUAAUUGACUUUCCGUUAUGGAUUUUUUUUCUUUGAAAUGUACAAAUAUUACAAAAUUGUACAACGAAUAUGUAUUAUUAUAACCCCAACCAACCAAUUAUUGUGACCCCAACCAACCUCACUACUCACUGGACCCUUAUGGUCACUCGGCUAAGCAUGCCUCUCAAUGUCAAUGUGCCUUGUCCAUUGCUGUUCUGGUUAGUGUUUAUUGGCUUAUUUCACUGUAGAGCCUCUAGCCCUGCUCAUUAAACCUUAUCCAACCUUUCAGUUCCACCACCCACUCAUGCGAUGACAUCACCUGGUUUCAAUGAUGUUUCUAGAGACAAUAUCUCUCUCAUCAUCACUCAAUGCCUAGGUUUACCUCCACUGUAUUCACAUCCUACCAUACCUUUGUCUGUACAUUAUACUUUGAAGCUAUUUUAUCGCCCCCAGAAACCUGCUCCUUUUACUCUCUGUUCCGGACGUCAUAGACGACCAAUUCUCAUAGCUUUUAGCCGUACCCUUAUCUUACUCCUCCUCUGGUGAUGUAGCUCAACUCCGAUUCCCCAGGCGCUCUCUUUUGAUGACUUCUGUAACCAUAAUAGCCUUGGUUUCAUGCAUGUUAACAUUAGAAGCCUCCUCCCUAAGUUUGUUUUAUUCACUGCUUUAGCACACUCUGCCAACCCGGAUGUCCUAGCCGUGUCUGAAUCCUGGCUUAGGAAGACCACCAAAAACUCUGAAAUCUCCAUCCCUAACUACAACAUUUUCAGACAAGAUAGAAUGGCCAAAGGGGGCGGUGUUGCAAUCUACUGCAGAGAUAGCCUGCAGAGUUCUGUCCUACUAUCCAGGUCUGUACCCAAACAAUUUGAACUUCUACUUUUAAAAAUCCACCUCUCUAAAAACAAGUCUCUCACCGUUGCUACCUGCUAUAGACCACCCUCUGCCCCCAGCUGUGCCCUGGACAACAUAUGUGAACUGAUUGCCCCCCCCAUCUAUCUUCAGAGCUCGUGCUGCUAGGUGACCUAAACUGGGACAUGCUUAACACCCUAGCCAUCCUACAAUCUAAGCUUGAUGCCCUCAAUCUCACACAAAUGAUCAAUGAACCUACCAGGUACCACCCCAAAGCCAUAAACACGCCCACCCUCAUAGAUAUCAUCUUAACCAACUUGCCCUCUAAAUACACCUCUGCUGUUUUCAACCAAGAUCUCAGCGAUCACUGCCUCAUUGCCUGCAUCCGUAAUGGGUCAGCGGUCAAACGACCUCCACUCAUCACUGUCAAACGCUCCCUGAAACACUUCAGCGAGCAGGCCUUUCUAAUCGACCUGGCCUGGAUAUCCUGGAAGGAUAUUGACCUCAUCUCGUCAGUAGAGGAUGCCUGGUUAUUUUUUUUAAAUGCCUUCCUCACCAUCUUAAAUAAGCAUGCCCCAUUCAAGAAAUUUAGAACCAGGAACAGAUAUUGCCCUUGGUUCUCUCCAGACCUGACUGCCCUUAACCAACACAUAAAAAUCCUGUGGCGUUCUGCAUUAGCAUCGAACAGCCCCCGUGAUAUGCAACUUCUCAGGGAAGUUAGAAACCAAAAUACACAGGCAGUUAGAAAAGCCAAGGGUAUCUUUUUCAAGCAGAAAUUUACUUCCUGCAACACAAACUCAAAAAAGUUCUGGGACACUGUAAAGUCCGAGGAGAAUAUGAACACCUCCUCCCAGCUGCCCACUGCACUAAGGAUAGGAAACUCGGUCACCACCGAUAAAUCCACUAUAACUGAGAAUUUCAAUAAGCAUUUUUCUACGGCUGGCCAUGCUUUCCACCUGGCUAUGCCUACCCUGGUCAACAGCACUGCACCCCCCACAGCAACUCGCCCAAGCCUUCCCCAUUUCUCCUUCUCCCAAAUCCAGUCAGCUGAUGUUCUGAAAGAGCUGCAAAAUCUGGACCCCUACAAAUCAGCCGGGCUAGACAAUCUGAACCCUUUCUUUCUAAAAUGAUCUGCCGAAAUUGUUGCAACCCCUAUUACUAGCCUGUUCAACCUCUCUUUUGUGUCGUCUGAGAUUCCCAAAGAUUAGAAAGCAGCUGCGGUCAUCCCCCUCUUCAAAGGAGAGGACAUUCUUGACCCAAACUGCUACAGACCUAUAUCUAUCCUACCCUGCCUUUCUAAGGUCUUCGAAAGCCAAGUCAACAAACAGAUUACCGACCAUUUCGAAUCCCACCGCACCUUCUCCGCUAUGCAAUCUGGUUUCAGAGCUGGUCAUGGGUGCACCUCAGCCACGCUCAAGGUCCUAAACGAUAUCUUAACCUCCAUCGAUAUGAAACAAUACUGUGCAGCCGUAUUCAUUGACCUGGCCAAGGCUUUCGACUCUGUCAAUCACCACAUCCUCAUCGGCAGACUCAAUAGCCUUGGUUUCUCAAAUGAUUGCCUCGCCUGAUUCACCAACUACUUCUCUGAUAGAGUUCAGUGUGUCAAAUCGUAUGGCCUGUUGUCCGGGCCUCUGGCAGUCUCUAUGGGGGUGCCACAGGGUUAAAUUCUUGGGCCGACUCUCUUCUCUGUAUACAUCAAUGAUGUCGCUCUUGUUGCUGGUGAGUCUCUGAUCCACCUCUACGCAGACGACACCAUUCUGUAUACUUCUGGCCCAUCUUUGGACACUGUGUUAACAACCCUCCAGACGAGCUUCAAUGCCAUACAACUCUCCUUCCGUGGCCUCCAACUGCUCUUAAAUACAAGUAAAACUAAAUGCAUGCUCUUCAACCGAUCGCUGCCUGUACCUGCCCGCCCAUCCAGCAUCACUACUCUGGACGGUUCUGACUUAGAAUAUGUGGACAACUACAAAUACCUAGGUGUCUGGUUAGACUGUAAACUCUCCUUCCAGACUCACAUCAAACAUCUCCAAUCCAAAGUGAAAUCUAGAAUUGGCUUCCUAUUUCGCAACAAUGCAUCCUUCACUCAUGCUGCCAAACAUACCCUCGUAAAACUGACCAUCCUACCGAUCCUCGACUUCGGCGAUGUCAUUUACAAAAUAGCCUCCAAUACCCUACUCAAUAAAUUGGAUGCAGUCUAUCACAGUGCCAUCCGUUUUGUCACCAAAACCCCAUAUACUUCCCACCACUGCGACCUGUACGCUCUCGUUGGCUGGCCCUUGCUUCAUACUCGUCGCCAAACCCACUGGCUCCAGGUCAUCUACAAGACCCUGCUAGGUAAAGUCCCCCCUUAUCUCAGCUCGCUGGUCACCAUAGCAGCACCCACCUGUAGCACGCACUCCAGCAGGUAAUUUCUCUCUGGUCACCCCCAUAGCCAAUUCCUCCUUUGGCCGCCUCUCCUUCCAGUUCUCUGCUGCCAAUGACUGGAACGAACUACAAAAAUCUCUGAAACUGAAAACACUUAUCUCCCUCACUAGCUUUAAGCACCAGCUGUCAGAGCAGCUCACAGAUCACUGUACCUGUACAUAGCCCAUCUAUAAUUUAGCCCAAACAACUACCUCUUCCCCUACUGUAUUUAUUUUGCUCCUUUGCACCCCAUUAUUUAUAUUUUUACUUUGCACUUUCUUCCACUGCAAAUCUAUUUGUUCUUGUAGUUUGGUCAGGACGUGGCAGGGGGUAUUUGUUUUAUGUGGUUCAGGGUGUGUUUGUGUAUGUGUUCAUGUAGAGGGGGUAUUUGGUUUAUAUGGUUCGGGGUGGUUAUGUAUGUAGAGGGGUAUUUGAUUUAUUAGUCGAGGGUUUUGGUUAUCGUUCUAUGUUAGUUUUUCUAUGUUCUGUCUAGGUGUUUGUAUUUCUAUGUUUUGGUAAUGGGGAUUGGGGCCUUCAAUUGGAGGCAGCUGUCUAUCGUUGCCUCUGAUUGAAGGUCCUAUAUUUAGGAGUGUGUUUGUCAUGGGAUUUUGUGGGAAAUUGUUGCUGUGUAUUGCUUUGUGCCUUACCGGUCUGUUCUUUGUCUUGUUUUUUGUAUACGUGUUUGUUUUGGUUUUCCUUCUUUGUCCUUUAAUAAAAGAAGAUGAGUAUACAUUUUCCCGCUGCGUUUUGGUCUAAAGCCCUACGACACCGUGACAGAAUCUCCCACCAAACACGGACCAAGCAGCAGAGGAGGGAGCAGCAACAGAGCCCAGUGGAAUCAUGGACAUGGGAGGAAAUUCUGGACGGGGCUGGACCAUGGCACCAGGCUGGGGAACAUCGUCGCCCACCGGAGGAGAUAGAGGCAGCCAGUUUGUUCAGUUUGCUUCCGUUUAAGAAAUGUUUUUCAACAGAAUAAAUACACCCCUGAUCACGUGUGAACACACAGCCAAGUUGUACUCGUUCUCGCGUCUUUGCGCUCUCGUCCUCUCCUUUUCCCUUCGCUUGUGGAAUUCAAUGCACAACACAUCAGCUGUAUGUGACCAGGCUAAAAAACCUUUCCAAGCCACAGCCUACAUCGUUGUCAUCAUAUUAGCUAAAGUAAUGUCCUAGUCAACAUAGCUAAUAGAACUAAUGCAUUAGUAAACCCACUACAAUCAUGCAGUUACAUCGGCGGGCCAGGUGGCAAUACAUUUGUAAAAACAAAAGCUUACCUUGACUUGGAAGAGUUCCAGUGUUGUGGUGGAUAGUCAUAGCCAGCUAGCUAACAUAGCAUCCCUCUGUUUGAGCAGGGUGUUUCAGUAGGCUAUACUAGCUAAGUAAGUGAAACUGAAAGUGAAAAAAAACGACAAUCUCUAUAUAGAUUUCUCUCUUGCUUCUCCUUCAUUUUGGAGUAAAUUAAUUAGUUCAAAAUUGUUCAAUUAUUCUUUUUCUCUCUCUUUGAGUCAACUACUCACUACAUUUUAUGCCCUGCAGUGCUAGCAAGCUGCUUUCAUUACUAGAUUCAUUUUCUGAUCCUUUGAUUGGGUGGACAUAUCAGUUGAUGCUGCAAGAGCUCUGAUAGGUUGGAGGACGUCCUCGGAAGUUGUCAUAAUUACUGUGAAAGUCUAUGGAAGUGAGUGAGAUCCAUGAGCCUCCUAGGUUUUGUAUUGAAGUCAAUGUACCCAGAGGAGGACGGAAGCUAGCUGUCCUUCGGCUACACCAUGGUGCUACCCUACAGAGUGCUGUUGAGGCUACUGUAGACCUUUGCAAAUUGUGUGUUUUAAUCGAUUAUUUGGUGGCAUGAUUAUAUUUAGUGUAGUUUUAUCUAAAAAUGAUCACUUUUAAAUGUUUUAAAUUAUACUUUUAUGAUUUCAGUGAGGAGGAUGGUCCUCCCCGUCCUCCUCUGAGGAGCCUCCACUGAUGACAACAUGGUGCGAUCCACUCGACUGCCUUCAUCAUACAAGCCCAAGUCACGUAACCUUAUCCAAAUACUACUUGGGUGGUGGGAUGGCUCACCACUGCCAUCUGCUGUAUCGUAACUAAACUGCUCCAUGGCACACCAUAAUGCUUUGGAAUGUGAUUUAUAUAUAUAUAUAUAUAUAUAUAUAUAUAUAUAUAUAUCCCGGUCUCUUGAGUUUGCUCGUUCUGAUAUUUAUUAAUUUCUUUAUUUUUACUUUUUGGAUUAUGUGUGUAUUGUUUUGUGUUACUAGGUAUUACUGCACUGUUGGAGCUAGAAACACAAGCAUUUCGCCGCACCUGUGAUAACAUCUGCAAAUCUGUGCAUGCGACCAAUAAACUUUGAUUUGAUUUAGAAUUUAAUGUCUUGAGUAUAAUUAUGUAUUACAUAGUAAAAGGCUGAUCGGCACAUGUUAGAUACCAGGCAUUUAUUAACCAUUACGCAUAUCUUAGAUUCAGACACGCAUAUGCGCAUGACUAUGAAAUAGUAAGAGACAAUAUUGUCAUCACGAUUUCUUAUUAUAUUACAGCCUUUGCGUAUAUUCAACUCUACACCUAGCUACUAACAAAAAUAUAAACGCAGCAUGCAACAAGUUCAACGAUUUUACUGAGUUCCAGUUCAUAUAAGGACAUCCUCAAUUUAAAUAAAUUAAUUUAGCCAUAAUCUAUGGAUUUCACAUGACUGGGCAGGGGUGUGGCCAUGGCUGGGCCUGGGAGGGCAUAUGCCCACCCACUUGAGAGCCAGGCCCAGCCAAUCAGUAUUACUUUUUCCCCAUAAAAGGAAAAGGGCUUUAUUACAGACAUAAACAUUCCUCAGUUUCAUCAGCUGUCCAGGUGGCUGGUCUCAGACGAUCCCGCAGGUGAAGAAGCUGGAUGUGGAGGUCCUGGGCUGUAGUGGUUACACGUGGUCUGCGAUUGUGAGGCGGGUUGGACGUACUGCCAAAUUCUCUAAAACAACAUUGGAGGCUGCUUAUGGUAGAGAAAUGAACAUUAAAUUAUCUGGCAACCGCUCUGGUGGACAUUCCUGCAGUCAGCAUGACAAUUCCACACUCCCUCAAAAUUUGAGACAUCUGUAGCAUUGUGUUGUGUGACAAAACUGCAUGUUUUAGAGUGGCCUUUUAUUGUCCCCGGUACAAGGUUCACCUGUGUAAUGAUCAUGCUGUUUAAUCAGCUUCUUGAUAUGCCACAUCUGUCAGGUGGAUGGAUUAUCUUGGCAAAGGAGAAAUGCUCACUAACAGGGAUGUAAACAAAUUUGUGCACUAAAUUUGAGAGAAAUACAAUUUUUGUGCAUAAGAAACAUUUCUGGGAUCUUUUAUUUGAGCUCAUGAAACAUGGGACCAACAAUUUACAUGUUGCAUUUAUAUUUUUGUUCAGUGUACAUACAGUAUGGUGUUGAGUGUAUUUUAGCAUUUUCGAGCUUCAGGUGUGUGAACAGUGGCUCUAGAUUGUAUUCUGUGAGUUUGUAGUGGCUGAUGUCCCUCAGAACCAGGGCCAGAGAUCCACAGGCCCUCCGAACCAGCCUGGUCUCAUUGAGGACCAGUCCCCCACACAGGGUAUCUCAAAUGUAUCUCAAAUGGAUUGUGCAGCUCAACAAAGUCAUUUAGAGGUGAUUUGGACAUGAAGCGUGCCAGCAGAGUUCUGCUACUUUGGCUUAUGGACCUUAUGUGUGAGGUGAUUGUAGAGGGGGCGCUGAAGGGUCCUGUGCAGAGCCCUGUGUGGGGAACUGGACCUCAAUGAGACCAGGCUGGUUCGGAGGGCCUGUGGAUCUCUGGCCCUGGUUCUGAGGGACAUCAGCCACUGCAAACUCACAGAAUACCAUCUAGAGCCACUGUUCACACACCUGCACAAAGCCCAAGUCCUGGAGUGAGUGUGUUAGGAGACCAGGAUUCAUAUCCUACCAGUUACACCAGCGUCAGUCCUUUGUCUGGGCAGAGGAGUUUCGCUUUUCUAUUUUUUGUUCAGUUUAAUUAUGCACCUGUAUAGCAUGUUGUCUUCAUUUUGGCAGAUUAACUCAUGCUUAUUUCUGAAGAUUAACUCAUGCUUUUGCUUUUUUCUUCUUCCAUGGAACCAGUCAGGCAACCACCUAUACCGUACUGGUGGUAGGUAGCCCAGUGGCUAAGGAGUUGGACCUGUGACUGAAAGAAGGCUUGUUUGAAUACUGGGCCAGGUGCUGGAACAAACAGGUGGAAUUGAUCUGACAACUGGAGGGCUGCUGGGUUCACAUCCUUAAAACAUUCCCCUACCUUUGAGCAAUGCCCUUAACCCCACAACAUGCUCUCCAUCCAGGGGCACUGCAGCUUGUCUCAACUCUUUGUGUAAGGUCUGCUGGGGAGGGGGAGGGGCUGUUAAGAACAGAGCAGAAGACACAUUUUUGUUGUUCACUGUAACUAAUGGACAAAGUUAUAUUUUAUUAUACUGUAAAGUCAGCCAGAGUUGACAUGGGCCAUCAUUCAAACAAAGAGAUGCGUCCAUGGCCACCAGUGCAUAUUUUCCAAACUAUGUUUGCA
rnacentral:lncRNA from 1 species